rnacentral:rRNA from 1 species
UGAGGAAUAUUGGUCAAUGGGCGCUAGCCUGAACCAGCCAAGUAGCGUGAAGGAUGACUGCCCUAUGGGUUGUAAACUUCUUUUAUAUGGGAAUUAAAGUGCAGUAUGUAUACUGCUUUGCAUGUACCUUAUGAAUAAGGAUCGGCUAACUCCGUGCC